rnacentral:rRNA from 1 species
AUGGAUGUCGUCAGCUCGUGUCAUGAGAUGUUGGGUUAAGUCCCGCAACGAGCGCAACCCUUGCCAUUAGUUGCUACGAAAGGGCACUCUAAUGGGACUGCCGGUGACAAACCGGAGGAAGGUGGGGAUGACGUCAAGUCCUCAUGGCCCUUAUAGGUGGGGCUACACACGUCAUACAAUGGCUGGUACAGAGGGUUGCCAACCCGCGAGGGGGAGCUAAUCCCAUAAAGCCAGUCGUAGUCCGGAUCGCAGUCUGCAACUCGACUGC